UGUUUCGGCUAGGGGGUCAUCCCGACUUACCAACCCGAUGCAAACUACGAAUACCGAAGAAUGUUAUCACGGGAGACACACGGCGGGUGCUAACGUCCGUCGUGAAGAGGGAAACAACCCAGACCGCCAGCUAAGGUCCCAAAGUCAUGGUUAAGUGGGAAACGAUGUGGGAAGGCCCAGACAGCCAGGAUGUUGGCUUAGAAGCAGCCAUCAUUUAAAGAAAGCGUAAUAGCUCACUGGUCGAGUCGGCCUGCGCGGAAGAUGUAACGGGGCUAAACCAUGCACCGAAGCUGCGGCAGCGACACUAUG
rnacentral:rRNA from 1 species